rnacentral:rRNA from 1 species
GAUGAACGCUGGCGGCGUGCCUAAUACAUGCAAGUCGAGCGAACAGACGAGGAGCUUGCUCCUCUGACGUUAGCGGCGGACGGGUGAGUAACACGUGGAUAACCUACCUAUAAGACUGGGAUAACUUCGGGAAACCGGAGCUAAUACCGGAUAAUAUAUUGAACCGCAUGGUUCAAUAGUGAAAGACGGUUUUGCUGUCACUUAUAGAUGGAUCCGCGCCGCAUUAGCUAGUUGGUAAGGUAACGGCUUACCAAGGCAACGAUGCGUAGCCGACCUGAGAGGGUGAUCGGCCACACUGGAACUGAGACACGGUCCAGACUCCUACGGGAGGCAGCAGUAGGGAAUCUUCCGCAAUGGGCGAAAGCCUGACGGAGCCACGCCGCGUGAGUGAUGAAGGUCUUCGGAUCGUAAAACUCUUUUAUUAGGGAAGAACAAAUGUGUAAGUAACUAUGCACGUCUUGACGGUACCUAAUCAGAAAGCCACGGCUAACUACGUG